UACGUAGGGUGCAAGCGUUAUCCGGAAUUAUUGGGCGUAAAGAGCUCGUAGGCGGUUUGUCACGUCUGCUGCGAAAACUGGAGGCUCAACCUCCAGCCUGCAGUGGGUACGGGCAGACUAGAGUGCGGUAGGGGAGAUUGGAAUUCCUGGUGUAGCGGUGAAAUGCGCAGAUAUCAGGAGGAACACCGAUGGCGAAGGCAGAUCUCUGGGCCGUAACUGACGCUGAGGAGCGAAAGCAUGGGGAGCGAACAGG
rnacentral:rRNA from 1 species